AAGAGGCAAAAUACUUGGUGUGCAAGCAAUCUUUCACGAGAGACUCUUACUUUUGUUUGCAUUUUGCAAGAGGGUCAUCUAAAGUGAAUUUGAUGUCUUUGAAACAAGAUUACUUGGAAUGGAGAAUGUUACAAUGUACCUACAUUUGGACUACGUUUUUAUUUCUUGACGGUGGAAGAGCUGUGCAGGGCGCUUUUGGAAAAAAUGCUCUAGUUGGAUUUGGUUUGACAACUUACACAAUGCUUGGAUUAGGAGUGGUAAUAUCUCUUUGAACCUUACCAUAAUGAUUUUACUUUGGGUAUUUGUCUCUAUUAGUCUUUGAACAAUACUCUACUUAUUACAAUUUAGCAGCUUAGUCCCUAA